rnacentral:rRNA from 1 species
GACGAACGCUGGCGGCGUGCUUAACACAUGCAAGUCGAACGGAAAGGCCCUGCUUUUGUGGGGUGCUCGAGUGGCGAACGGGUGAGUAACACGUGAGUAACCUGCCCUUGACUUUGGGAUAACUUCAGGAAACUGGGGCUGAUACCGGAUAGGAGCUCCUGCUGCAUGGUGGGGGUUGGAAAGUUUCGGCGGUUGGGGAUGGACUCGCGGCUUAUCAGCUUGUUGGUGGGGUAGUGGCUUACCAAGGCUUUGACGGGUAGCCGGCCUGAGAGGGUGACCGGCCACAUUGGGACUGAGAUACGACCCAGACUCCUACGGGAGGCAGCAGUGGGGAAUAUUGCACAAUGGGCGGAAGCCUGAUGCAGCAACGCCGCGUGCGGGAUGACGGCCUUCGGGUUGUAAACCGCUUUCGCCUGUGACGAAGCGUGAGUGACGGUAAUGGGUAAAGAAGCACCGGCUAACUACGUG